UUAAAUUGCAAAUACGGGAUGAGUGAAUCGGAUUUCGUCCACUGCACUAAAUUCCAACAAUAAAUAGUUAUUGUUUGUUAACUUUGUCGUUCUGGGCAACCUUCAAACUCGUCUGCUCUUCUUUAACAAUGAAUACAUUCUUCUGAAAUGGCAGGGAUGACUGAAUGUUGUUCUGGACCCUGGGGAAUGAAAAAAGAUGAAUACCGGAGCCCGUGCCAGUUUGCAGUCUUCGAAACCUCACCCUGAAAAAG